rnacentral:tRNA from 1 species
UCCCUGGUGGCCUAGGGAUUAAGGAAUCAGCACUGUCACUGCUGUGGCUCAGGUUCUAUCCCUGGCCAGGGAA